rnacentral:lncRNA from 1 species
CUCCUCUUGCUCUGCACAGGUGAUCUCUUGUGUCCUUUCUCAGACUUUACCUGUGGGGGUACCACAGGAUCAUGAGAUGGACGUUCCAACUCUAAGCUCAUGAGAGACAUAGAUUUAUUGGUUCUCCUGGGUAUGGUUCCUUCAUCUCUCUCUUCUCUUGCAGGUUCUGUGGUCUCCUAUGAGCUGACUCAGCCACCCUCAGUCUCAGUAGCCCUGGGACAGACAGCCACAAUCACUUGCUCUGGAGAUAAACUCUCAAAGUAUUAUGCAUACUGGUUCCAGCAGCAGCACCCAGGACAGACCCCUCUCCGGGUAAUAUACGAGGAUACUAAGCGACCCUCAGGGAUCCCAGAGAGAUUCUCUGGAUCCAGCUCAGGGACAACAGCCACCCUGACCAUCACCAGAACUCAGACUGAAGAUGAGGCUGUCUAUUACUGUUUAUCAUCAUAUGAUGAUAGCGGUAAUGAAGUUCCCACAG